rnacentral:rRNA from 1 species
GACGAACGCUGGCGGCGUGCUUAACACAUGCAAGUCGAACGGAAAGGCCCUGCUUGCAGGGUGCUCGAGUGGCGAACGGGUGAGUAACACGUGGGUGAUCUGCCCCUUACUUUGGGAUAAGCCUGGGAAACUGGGUCUAAUACUGGAUAGGACCAUGCUGUAGGUGGUGUGGUGGAAAGAUUAGUUUCGGUAAGGGAUGAGCUCGCGGCCUAUCAGCUUGUUGGUGGGGCAAUGGCCUACCAAGGCGUCGACGGGUAGCCGGCCUGAGAGGGUGGACGGCCACAUUGGGACUGAGAUACGGCCCAGACUCCUACGGGAGGCAGCAGUGGGGAAUAUUGCACAAUGGGCGCAAGCCUGAUGCAGCGACGCCGCGUGGGGGAUGACGGCCUUCGGGUUGUAAACUCCUUUCAGCCAUGACGAAGCCUUCGGGUGACGGUAGUGGUAGAAGAAGCACCGGCUAACUACGUG